AUAGCUCAGUGGCAGAGCACAUGCUUAGCAUGCAUGAGGUCCUGGGUUCAAUCCCCAGU
rnacentral:tRNA from 1 species